GACGAACGCUGGCGGCGUGCCUAAUACAUGCAAGUAGAACGCUGAAGGAGGAGCUUGCUUCUAUGGCUGAGUUGCGAUCGGGUGAGUAACGCGUAGGUAACCUGCCUGGUAGCGGGGGAUAACUAUUGGAAACGAUAGCUAAUACCGCAUAACAGUAGAUAUCGCAUGAUAUCUACUUGAAAGGUGCAAUUGCCUCACUACCAGAUGGACCUGCGUUGUAUUAGCUAGUUGGUGAGGUAACGGCUCACCAAGGCGACGGUACAUAGCCGACCUGAGAGGGGUGACGGCCACACUGGGACUGAGACACGGCCCAGACUCCUACGGGAGGCAGCAGGAGGGAAUCUUCGGCAAUGGACGGAAGGCUGACCGAGCAACGCCGCGUGAGUGAAGAAGGGUUUCGGAUCGUAAAACUCUGUUGUAAGAGAAGAACGAGUAUGAGAGUGAAAAGUUCCCACUGUGACGGUACCUUACCAGAAAGUAACGGCUAACUCCGUG
rnacentral:rRNA from 1 species